rnacentral:rRNA from 1 species
CAGCAGCCGCGGGAACACGAAGGGUGCAAGCGUUAAUCGGAAUUACUGGGCGUAAAGCGCGCGUAGGUGGUUUGGUAAGAUGGAUGUGAAAUCCCCGGGCUCAACCUGGGAACUGCAUCCAUAACUGCCUGACUAGAGUACGGUAGAGGGUGGUGGAAUUUCCUGUGUAGCGGUGAAAUGCGUAGAUAUAGGAAGGAACACCAGUGGCGAAGGCGACCACCUGGACUGAUACUGACACUGAGGUGCGAAAGCGUGGGGAGCAAACAGGAUUAGAUACCCCCGUAGUCCCUGUCUCUUAUAC